UCUCACCUUUUAAGUCUUGUUUAAAGCUAAACCAUAUAAACUAUUAUAAAAGAUGAAAAUAUUAGUCAUUUUUCCAGGUCUCAUGGUGGCCAGAGUAAAUCAUGACUCGGCUUGGCCAACUGGACUCACAUACCUGGAUUUUGAAAUGAGAACUAGUGACACCAGGGAAGAGGAAUAGAAGGAUACCUCUACUAGAAGUAGCAAUGGCAGGAAGGUGGAGUUCCCAGCAUAGUAGUGGCAAUGGUUUCCAGCAUACUUGUUCUCAGGGUCCAGGACAGAGGGGGGCGAUGUUGCAUUCUGGUUUCCCACAGGUUUGAGCAUUAGCAGCACCAUCCUCAGCAAAUGGGUGCUAUGGCAUAAUUUCAGCCAAUUCUGAUUAGAGUACCAUUUUUUUUUUCCUGUCCAUCUACCCAACUUAGUUUUCUCCGGUCUUUCCAGAGAUUCUUUGAGCCAUCCAGUUUCCUUUUACAAAAUGUCUUUUCUGAUUGAAUAAAUCAGAAAAUCUGGCUGACUUAAAAUGUGACUAGGGUGACCCUGCAUGCCUGUUUUCCCAGAAAAGUUUUGGUUCAUGCUGGUUGUUGUAGUAGUAAAUAUUGAUAACACAAAAUUUUUCUUUAUAAAGUUUCCACAUUCAUACAAUAAAUUAAUUAUAUUGUAUACCUAACAAUGAGGACAUCUCUCCCUUUUGUAACAUGUAAAUGAAGAUGAUAUAAAUAGUGUACUAGCUAGUAUAUUCUAGGUAAUUUAAAAAUAGGAUUAAAAAACCUAAAUUGUAAAUUCAGAUUCUGAUCAUGCCUGUUUCUAGAACAUAUUUGGACAUGAAUCAUUCAUGUUUGAAGCUAUAUAAUUAACAGAUUUCUUGCCUCAAAGUAAGUAUAAGUUGGGCAGCAUUUAUGUCUAUGAUAAGAAUUAAAGAACACAGCAUAUUUUACCUCUAUUUGUGGUUGUUGUUGAAAUAUGUGUUCAUAACCUUCAACGAAUAUUAGAAAAGUAAUUAAUUUAUUCAUAUUUUAAGAAGAGCUGCUGGAAGCCAAGAAAUGAAAAGAGAAUGGGGAAAUCCAGACAGAUUUAUGUAUAUAUUAAGGGUUUAUCUUCGAGGUUGAAAUCACAUUUCAAGAGGAAACUCUGCAUGGGACGCUCUGAAGGAAAGUAUUGAUAACUAAUGUACCCACUAGAACCUCUUCUCAUGUAAAAAUUGCCACUGUCCCCAGCAAAUUCCGUCAAUCCUUUUUCAAAUGCUAGCUUAUUAAAGACAUACCAAAAAGUGGGUAACUAGGGCUAAAUCUGAGACCAUGAUGUUUCAGAGUUUUA